AUGGUGAGCUGGCCCGGCAUUUGCAAGCCCAAAGACCAGGGUAGCCUUGGGAUCCUGUCAUCUCGCCGCACGAACAUUGCUCUCCUGACCCGCUGGCUGUGGUGUAUCGCCAAUGGGAAGGGAGGCCUCUGGCUGACCAUCAUCCGUAAUAAAUACCUGAGGGGCCAACCUCUAGCCUUUUGCCAGCGUACGGGUGGCUCCCAGUUCUGGCAGUCCGUGGUCCAGCUUCUGGCCGUCCUCCGCCUCGGCACGUCCAUCUCUGUUGGAUCUAGGGCCUCGACCCUGUUCUGGUUCGACCGCUAGCUUGGGGACUCCCCCUUGGCUGUGUGUUUCCUAGAACUAUUUGCCAUUGCGGCUGACCCUCGGGUCUCUAUCGAGACGACCCUUAUUGACUUAGGGCGUCUCGCUUUCCGUCGCCCCUUCGGCCCACUCGAGGUGGCUGCUUGGGACUCCCUCCUCCAAGACGUGGCCCUUAUGCCGAUGAACGUUGAGGAGGACCAGGAUGCCAUUUCGUGGCAUCUGGAGCCGUCUGGCCGCUUCUCCACGAAAUCCUUGUAUGCGGCCAUCGCGCCCUCGACGGCCCCGGAACCAUUUAGCCUGAUUUGGGAGAUCUGCCUCCCUCUGAAGAUCAGGAUCUUUCUGUGGCAAUGGAUCCGCGGACGCCUCCCCUCUGGGGUCGAAGUCCUCAAGCGUACCGGCCCGGGCGAUGGAAUUUGUCUCAUCUGUGGCACGAUCGAGGAUGCUAACCACAUCUUCUUCUCGUGCUCUACUGCCCAGUUCAUAUGGGCCUGCUUCCACGAAAUGGUCGGUGGCCAGUGGUGCAAUACCAAUUUCCCCGACUUACUUGCGGAGCUGAACGCCUUCCCUCCUCGCUACCGCCAUAUUAGAUGGUUGUGCGUUGGGAUCCUCGCCUUGCGGAGCUGA
rnacentral:rRNA from 1 species